UACGUAGGAGGCGAGCGUUGUCCGGAAUUACUGGGCGUAAAGAGCGCGUAGGCGGCGCGGUACGACCGCUGUGAAAGCCCCCAGCUCAACUGGGGAGGGUCAGCGGUAACGGCCGUGCUUUGAGUGCAGGAGAGGGAAGUGGAACUCCGGGAGUAGCGGUGAAAUGCGUAGAAACCCGGAGGAACACCAGUGGCGAAGGCGGCUUCCUGGUCUGCGACUGACGCUGUGGCGCGAAAGCUAGGGGAGCAAACGGG
rnacentral:rRNA from 1 species